rnacentral:ncRNA from 1 species
AUAAAGUUUUAUUCUUGCUUUGAUAUUUGCAUUAAGGAUAAUUUACAUGUAUUGUAUUUCUUAAUGGAUUAUUUAGCAGUAAUUAGUAUUGUACAAUUAGUGAAGUUUGGAUACAGUAUUCUUUAUUUAAUGUUGGUUAAAUGCGUGCCAGCUGCCGCGGUUAGACGUGAAAUGUGAGUGAAUAUUUUUGGUUAGAAGUUGGCUGUUAAAUUAAUAUCAAAUUUUUAGUGGUUAAUGUUUGGUGAAAUGAAUAAAUCUCGAUGUAUUGAUUAUUGAUAUGUUGAAGCUUUGAAAUAUUUAAUUGAAACUAGGAUUAGAUACCCUAUUAUUGAAUAUGUAAAUUUUAAAUAUCUGAGUAGUAAUAGUUAUAUUCUUGAAACUCAAAGAAUUUGGCGGUAUUUUAGUCCUUUCAGAGGAAUCUGUCCCGUAAUUGAUAUUACACGAUUUUCGUUACUUAAUUUGGUUAUCAGUUUAUAUACCGCCGUCGUUAAGAUUAUCUUAUGGAGAGUAGUAAUUUUCGUUAUUUUUUAUUAAAUGAUAUGUCAGGUCAAGGUGUAGCUUAUGAUUAAGUGGAGAUGGAUUACAAUAAGUUUAUUUAUACGGAUAAUUUAAUUAAUUUGUAUUUGAAGGUGGAUUUGAUUGUAAAUUGAUUGAAAUUGAUUUUUUGGUUUUGGCUCUAAAAUGUGCACACAUCGCCCGUCGCUCUCGUUUCAAGAUGAGAUAAGUCGUAACAUAGUAGAUGUACCGGAAGGUGUAUCUGGAAUGGC